CAAGAAUAUCAAACUUUCAAAUCUACACAGGAAGUUCUUUGACAGAGAGCAGAAUAGAGUAAACAUUUGGGAGAGUGUUUCCCUAAAUAUUUUACUAUGUGCAGCUUAUUUCAUCUUGGAAGUUAACAACAAUUAACAGAAUGCACCAGGUAUAGCAUCAUAUGUGUAUAUAAAGUAUCAGCACACAUGAAUGAAUUGAGACAUGUUUAGUGAUCCAAUGUAUUGUGUUCAAAGAUUCCAUCCAACAGUUCAAAGACAUGUCAUAGCAGUGAAGCAAAUGGUGGCAAAUGAUGGCUUUGUGGUGGUUAGUGAAAAACUGUGGCAAUCUACAUUGGUGGUGGCAAACACUAACAGAAAAUUUCUGGAUCAGCAGUGACAUGAAGUUGAUGAAAUAAUGACAUAUUUUACACUGUACUGAAGAUGUAAUUGCCAAAAUUAUUUAAUAAAAAAUGUUAUGGCUAUCAGUGGAAAACAUUGAUAUACUACAAUAAGAGUGGAACUGACAUUUUAACACUAUUGUUUGUACUAUUAUACAUCACCUAGUUCAAAAUUCUUAAGCAUUUUUGUUAUAUUAUAGACUUUUGGCAUUGAAAAACAUAGUUAUUUAAAGACGUAAUAAUAUCGUUAUUGUUCUAAAUUAGUUUAAAUGCUGACUGAUUUAAGAACAAUCAAAAUAAAAGGUUGAUUUACAUUUAUUGUUUCAUUUUUAUUGAGUGACCUUACAUUUAGAUUUGUGAUCACUUUUCUGUCUGUCCAUAAAUCCGUAUCAGUCAAAAAUGAUAGUCA